rnacentral:rRNA from 1 species
UUAGAACGUCGUGAGACAGUUCGGUCCCUAUCUGCCGUGGGCGCUGGAGAAUUGAGGGGGCUGCUCCUAGUACGAGAGGACCGGAGUGGACGCAUCACUGGUGUUCGGGUUGUCAUGCCAAUGGCACUGCCCGGUAGCUAAAUGCGGAAGAGAUAAGUGCUGAAAGCAUCUAAGCACGAAACUUGCCCCGAGAUGAGUUCUCCCUGAGACUUUAAGUCUCCUGAAGGAACGUUGAAGACGACGACGUUGAUAGGCCGGGUGUGUAAGCGCAGCGAUGCGUUGAGCUAACCGGUACUAAUGAACCGUGAGGCUUAACCUUAC